rnacentral:rRNA from 1 species
GUGGGGAAUAUUGGACAAUGGGCGAAAGCCUGAUCCAGCCAUGCCGCGUGUGUGAAGAAGGUCUUCGGAUUGUAAAGCACUUUAAGUUGGGAGGAAGGGCAGUAAGUUAAUACCUUGCUGUUUUGACGUUACCGACAGAAUAAGCACCGGCUAACUUCGUGCCAGCAGCCGCGGUAAUACGAAGGGUGCAAGCGUUAAUCGGAAUUACUGGGCGUAAAGCGCGCGUAGGUGGUUUUGUAAGUUGGAGGUGAAAUCCCCGGGCUCAACCUGGGAACUGCCUCCAAAACUGCAUGACUAGAGUACGGUAGAGGGUAGUGGAAUUUCCUGUGUAGCGGUGAAAUGCGUAGAUAUAGGAAGGAACACCAGUGGCGAAGGCGACUACCUGGACAGAUACUGACACUGAGGUGCGAAAGCGUGGGGAGCAAACAGGAUUAGAAACCCGAGUAGUCC